CCCGAGUCCGUUACCUGGGAACGAUUAUCACACAAUGAAUUGUCACUGUCCCUCGCCGGCCGCUCCUCCAUGUCUCCCGCGUCGCACGAGAUUACGUCACGGGAGCGGCGCACGGUGAUGGCAUCGUGAAGCUCGAGCAAGCAGAGAGAGGACAUAGAGGGACAGCCUGUAAUUGAUCUUGGUUCAAAGAGUGCUGCAGCAGCUGAGAGGAAUCUGCUUGAAGGUUGAAGAAGAUCCAGUGCUAGUAGCAAGAAAGCUUCUAUGUUCCCAACAAGACCCCACAUCCAUACCCUGGAUAAUCCGUUGGGUAGUAGAGGUUCAGGAUCGUCAGAGCCCACGUGUCCCAUGUCCACCACCAAAAAGGCCUACUGAUCAUAAAACACCAAAACCACUGACCGAUCCCACAGAAGAGCAGCUGUAAAAAAAUAAAUACUGAAAAACCUCCUGUCGUGUAUGUUAGAAAGGAGUCCGAUCACACAAGACAUCACAGCUACUGUGUAUGGGACUAUGUAACCUCAGACCUGUCAGAGCCCCCAUUCUUACCCCUGUCCACCACCAAAAAGGCCUACAAUGGGCACAGUGGCAUCAACAUGGAUCAUGGAGGAAUUUGGCCUGGUCUCAUAGAUGACGUUCUGCAUCAUGUGGAUGGCCGGGUGUGUGUCACUCACCUGAGAAAAAGAUGGCAGCAGGAUGGGCUAUGAGAAGACAAUAUGGCGGGGGCAGUGUGAUGGGCAAUGUUCUGCUGGAGACCUUGUGUCCUGGCAUCAUGUGGUGGUUACUGUGACACGUACCACCUACCUACCCAUUGUACAGACCAAGUCCCUAACGGCAGUGACCCCAUUCAGCAGGAUAAUUCCCCCCGGGCCACACUUCAGACAUUGUUCAGGAACGAGGAAGAUGACAAAGAGAUCAAGAUGGUGACUCGGCCUCCAGAUUCCCCAAAUCUCAUCCGAUCGACCAUCUGUGGGACGUUCUGGAGAAACAAGUCCAAUCCAUGGAGGCCGCACCUCACAAGCAGGACGGCCACAACGACUCUGUGGCAAAUCCUUUCAUAGCAGAUUUAUUACUGCAUAUUAAAUAUUAUAAUUAUAU